GUAGGUGGCAAGCGUUGUCCGGAAUUAUUGGGCGUAAAGCGCGCGCAGGCGGUUCUUUAAGUCUGAUGUGAAAGCCCACGGCUCAACCGUGGAGGGUCAUUGGAAACUGGAGAACUUGAGUACAGAAGAGGAAAGCGGAAUUCCACGUGUAGCGGUGAAAUGCGUAGAGAUGUGGAGGAACACCAGUGGCGAAGGCGGCUUUCUGGUCUGUAACUGACGCUGAGGCGCGAAAGCGUGGGGAGCAAACAGGAUUAGAUACCCUGGUAGUCCACGCCGUAAACGAUGAGUGCUAAGUGUUAGGGGGUUUCCGCCCCCCUUAGUGCUGCAGCUAACGCAUUAAGCACUCCGCCUGGGAGUACGGCCACAAGGCUG
rnacentral:rRNA from 1 species